AGACGAUAGCUUUUGACAGUGUCACCUGAAUACAGCACGCUGCCCAAAGCAUGUGAGAUGAGCACAGGAAGGAGUGAGAGACCAUCGGGGACAAGCAGGAAUUUGGUUGAAGCCAUCAACAGCAACAACAGAACUCACUGCAGAGAAUGUCUGCUGGGGAGAAGAAUGCCAGAAGAACCCAGAUACAUCACCCCAGGAAGGGAGGAAUAAUACCCUUGUCACAGCCUGAUUGGUGGUGUCUCACCAUCGACCUUUGGCAAGUUGUGCUGGAAAGGGAUGGUCAGAGUUCCAAAGUGCAAUAUUAUAUUUCCAAUUAAAAUGUAAAAACAAACCUUUUUCAUAAAGCACAUUGGCCUCCGCGCUGGGAAGUGACUACAAAGCCCAUCGCUGAUUGAGAAAAGCUGAAAGCAGACACUGUAAUUGAUAAAGGAGAUAAGUCAAUCUGUGUCCUUUAAAGAAUAAUGAGUUCCAUUUUUCAUCAAAAAGAUCUCCUUGUGCCGAAGAAACAUUCUUUCAAUAAAUCUACUUAAUGGCUUCCCCUCCAAUGAUCUAUAACACUGCGCUUUGGAAGGAGCUCGGAGCAUCCUAGCGGGUUCCUGCAGGGGGCUGCAGGCCACCCAACAUUUGCAUUGCUAAUCUAACCCAAAGAAAACCCAAAGGGUUCCCAGGCAGGGCUGCGGUUCUGGGCCAAACAUCUGGAGGCUUUCCUGGGCUCUUCAGGCAGGUAGGUGGGAUGGAAUUUUGAAAUAAACAUCCCCCCACUAAACUUGAGGUGCUCUGCGAACGUACCUCUCCUGCGCCCACCACCACGGCUCUGCUGUGUCAGGGAUACCUCAGCCAUGAGGAUGGCUCACGUCAGAGAGCUCAAGAGUUAAAUGUUUCAGAUAUUUGGGUUGUGAGAACUGAUUAGCUCGUUUGUUCCCUGGGCUCAUCACUCCCCUACAGCCCUGACGGCCUUGGUGUUGUUCUGACCGUGGGCUGCAGGAGGUAGCCCGUGUUUAUUGUGUUUGGUAAACUGAAGAUCCACUUUAAAGCCCCUGCCCGAAGUGGUGCUGCGUACGGGCCUGUUCCCCACCCAGCUGAGGGCCUAAGCCUCAGGUGGUAAAAGGCAGAGCAGAAGAAACAGCCUGUCCCCUUCGAAGGCAAUGAUUCAGGGCUCUCCGCACCCUGGCGCGAGGCAGCAGGACGUAUCGUUCAGCUUGGCUUACCUUGUGAACCCCAACUUUACAAAUGCGCCGAUCUCCACCAGGACCCAGCUUUAUGUAACGAAACCUAUUUCCUCCGAGGGCACCGGCCCUCCCAACACUGGCGGACUUCCCCACAUGGGAAUCAUUAAAAACAACCUUCGAGUUAUUUCCUUAUGUUGCUGUUUGUUUAUCCUCCAGUCGCGUGUGAGUCAGCCAGAUCAUGGUUUGUGGUGGUUUUGCUUAUGAAAUCUUACAUAAUCAUAUUCCUAUUGUCACGUUGGGUCGAGCAGUUAGGCCAUAUAGUGUUUUCUCAUUGCACAACGUCUGUGAAUCAAUAAGGAGAAAGGCUGAACAAUGAGAUGACGUUGGCUGGUCAGGAACCCGGCUCCUCGUCACCCAGGAGGCCGCUCUGCAGUUUCACAGAUACAGCUGGUGGCGCAGGAGCCGGGACACCCUCUAAAGCCACCGUGGCGCAGGAUGACUGGGCUGGGUGGCGGCCUUUGGGAUGGGUCUCACCGAGGUGAUGUUUAAGAGAUGAGAGCCAGGGAACGAAAGAACAACAAUGACAACACUUCACACAGAAACCGACCAAUUUUUUUACUGCAUUCGGUACACGCUGGAUUCCAACAUGCUGGUCCAGAGCGUGGCUGGCUACAAGCUGGCAAGACUCUUACGGCUCCUCCGACAGGCUUUCCCUUCCCCGCCAUGUACAUUAUUUAUUUUGAUCCUACUCACUGUCCCAAGUCCAGAGGCAGUUAUUAAAAAUGCUCUCAAUGCAAACAGUGAGUGGCUAUGACACACGGAUGAGGGUGGGUGCGACUUCCACAACAGAACGUGGAAUCUGGAGAAAUGGUCAGUGGAGGCAAGACGCCUCCUUAGUGGCUAAUAGUAUUAUGGAGCUCAAAACCCACAACUGUUUUUUUUCUGGUUUUUGUUUUUUAAUUCCUGGAGUAUAUUGAAACUAGUUGUUCCUAACACGAUUUCAUAUGGUAAAUAAAAUAUCUGACCUGAUUUAAACCUUGUUUGUUUGCAUACAUCUUUGAGGCGUGCACCUCAAAGUCAUUCGUAUUGAUACAGGAUGAAGAUUAUAAAUAUCCGCAUAAAAAGAGAAACGGUGUGACUCUAUAUGAAGACAACGACCAUCACAUUCCACAGCACAUCAUUGGUUAAUCUUUGAAUCGUCAAGCAUUAUUUAAAACAAGAGAGAGAGAGAGAGAGAGAGAGAGAGAGAGAGAGAGAGAAUAUAACUGAACACAAGCUCCACGACAAAA